rnacentral:lncRNA from 1 species
AUAAAUAGUUUUAAUGUGUCUUUUACAUAAUUGCUCAUUUGCUCUGUUUUAGUUUAUGCUUGUUCAAAUGGGUAUUGAAUUUAAUCUGUAAAUAUGGAGAAAGAGAAGGGGGAAAAAGGGUGAUUUUUCUUCCAUUUUUGUUAUUUGGAUUUUAGUAUUGACAGAUUCUAUUCAUUUUGGCAACUGGGUGUUUUUUUUUAAUUUGAUAUUUAUAGAUAGGGAAUUGAUU